rnacentral:tRNA from 1 species
CGUAGCUCAGUUGGAUAGAGCAGCGGUUUCCUAAACCGCGUGUCGUCGGUUCAAUUCCGGCCG